GAUGAACGCUGGCGGCGUGCCUAAUACAUGCAAGUCGAGCGAACAGACGAGGAGCUUGCUCCUCUGACGUUAGCGGCGGACGGGUGAGUAACACGUGGAUAACCUACCUAUAAGACUGGGAUAACUUCGGGAAACCGGAGCUAAUACCGGAUAAUAUAUUGAACCGCAUGGUUCAAUAGUGAAAGACGGUUUUGCUGUCACAUAUAGAUGGAUCCGCGCCGCAUUAGCUAGUUGGUAAGGUAACGGCUUACCAAGGCAACGAUGCGUAGCUGACCUGAGAGGGUGAUCGGCCACACUGGAACUGAGACACGGUCCAGACUCCUACGGGAGGCAGCAGUAGGGAAUCUUCCGCAAUGGGCGAAAGCCUGACGGAGCAACGCCGCGUGAGUGAUGAAGGUCUUCGGAUCGUAAAGCUCUGUUAUUAGGGAAGAACAAAUGUGUAAGUAACUAUGCACGUCUUGACGGUACCUAAUCAGAAAGCCACGGCUAACUACGUG
rnacentral:rRNA from 1 species